rnacentral:misc_RNA from 2 species
AAGUCGUAACAAGGUUUCCGUAGGUGAACCUGCGGAAGGAUCAUUAUCCAUCUAAAACCAGGUGCGGUCGCGGCCUCCGGGUGAAAGCCUGGGUGGUUUCGCGCCGCAUUCCUGCACCCUUUUUUUACGAGCACCUUUGUUCUCCUUCGGCGGGGCAACCUGCCGCUGGAACUUAAUAAAACCUUUUUUGCAUCUAGCAUUACCUGUUCUGAUACAAAUAAUCGUUACAACUUUCAACAAUGGAUCUCUUGGCUCUG